rnacentral:rRNA from 1 species
UACGGAGGGUGCAAGCGUUGCUCGGAAUUAUUGGGCGUAAAGGGUAGGUAGGUGGUCUCGUUUGUCUGGGGUGAAAGCCUUGGGCUUAACUCAAGAAGUGCCCCCAGAAACGGCGAGACUAGAGUCCUAGAGAGGGUCGUGGAAUUCCCGGUGUAGCGGUGAAAUGCGUAGAGAUCGGGAGGAACACCAGAGGCGAAGGCGGCGACCUGGAUAGGUACUGACACUCAACUACGAAAGCGUGGGGAGCAAACAGG